rnacentral:rRNA from 1 species
AGACCCGAAACCCGGUGAUCUAGCCAUGGGCAGGUUGAAGGUUGGGUAACACUAACUGGAGGACCGAACCGACUAAUGUUGAAAAAUUAGCGGAUGACCUGUGGCUGGGGGUGAAAGGCCAAUCAAACCGGGAGAUAGCUGGUUCUCCCCGAAAGCUAUUUAGGUAGCGCCUCGUGAAUUCAUCUCCGGGGGUAGAGCACUGUUUCGGCUAGGGGGCCAUCCCGGCUUACCAACCCGAUGCAAACUGCGAAUACCGGAGAAUGUUAUCACGGGAGACACACGGCGGGUGCUAACGUCCGUCGUGAAGAGGGAAACAACCCAGACCGCCAGCUAAGGUCCCAAAGUCAUGGUUAAGUGGGAAACGAUGUGGGAAGGCCCAGACAGCCAGGAUGUUGGCUUAGAAGCAGCCAUCAUUUAAAGAAAGCGUAAUAGCUCACUGGUCGAGUCGGCCUGCGCGGAAGAUGUAACGGGGCUAAACCAUGCACCGAAGCUGCGGCAGCGACGCUUAUGCGUUGUUGGGUAGGGGAGCGUUCUGUAAGCCUGUGAAGGUGGCCUGUGAGGGUUGCUGGAGGUAUCAGAAGUGCGAAUGCUGACAUAAGUAACGAUAAAGCGGGUGAAAAGCCCGCUCGCCGGAAGACCAAGGGUUCCUGUCCAACGUUAAUCGGGGCAGGGUGAGUCGACCCCUAAGGCGAGGCCGAAAGGCGUAGUCGAUG